rnacentral:rRNA from 1 species
UUAUUCAGCAAUGGAUAACUGAGUGGCGAACGGGUGAGUAACACGUGGGUGACCUACCUUUGAGUGGGGGAUAACGUCCCGAAAGGGACGCUAAUACCGCAUAACAUCCUGCCUUUGAACAGGCGGAGAUCAAAGCCGGGGAUCGCAAGACCUGGCGCUUGAUGAGGGGCCCGCGUCGGAUUAGCUAGUUGGUGAGGUAACGGCCCACCAAGGCGACGAUCAGUAUCCGUCCUGAGAGGGCGGACGGCCACACUGGGACUGAGCCACGGCCCAGACUCUUACGGGAGGCACCAGUGGGGAAUUGUUCACAAUGGGCGCAACCCUGACGACGCAACGCCGCGUGGAGGAGGAAGGUCUUCGGA